AGGAGUGUGUAACAACUCA
rnacentral:ncRNA from 3 species